UGGGAGGACCAAGCCGGAGGUUCCCACUAUGAGCCGGGAGUCUGAGCAACCAGAUGACACAGGAGCUGUCAUUCCUGUGAGCUGAGCUGGCCUGGGACUGGAGCUAACACCUGUGUGAGAGCAACACUGAAAACUCUUCCUGAGUUUUGUUUGGAAGAUGAGCAACCGUGCGGUUCCCAAGUUCCCACUGGUGAUAUUCUACAUUUCUGUACCGAGAGGCCUUCAACUUUGUUUCCAGGACCCUUGGAAAUGUGAAACUCGACAAGAGCACGUGACUUGAACGCAGUAUGUAAUAACAGCUAACGUUUAUCCAGUGUUUCCUCUCAGCCAGGCGAUGUUCCAAGAGCCUUAAGUAUUUUUUUUCCAGCCAGCUGCCACCCAAGAUUGGGCUAAACCCUCGGCCCUUUGUUAAAAUGAGAAGAAAAAAAAAGGAAAGAAAGAAAGAAAAAAAAAGAGAACACAUGCAACGCAAGCUUCUAAUAAGUAUAUUCACAACUUCGAUGCAAGGCGCUUAAGAAAACUAAAAGAAAACGGAGACCAUCGCAGGAAUCCACAGCUGGACACGAUGCAGGCAUCGACAGAUCUCGGGCAGCUCUACCCCAGUGGCUUCCUCUGCAUCACAUUUACAGCUCUGCAAAAAUCACAGAAGAGGGGAUAGGAAGACUGUAAGAGCGAAACACAAGGAGUUUGGCUGUGAAACAGUCUUUCCUAGAAAUGUCUGCAUAAACGAAAUCUGAACAGUGGCAAUCUCAGCAGUAUAUUGACGUGGAAGAGAAAACCAAACCUCACAGGAUCACAUCCGUGGAUAAGACAACUGAUGACUGCUGGGAAUGAGAGAGUUAUCCUCUAUCAGGGAUGAGCUCUCUGAUCAGCUAUCCAAUACAAACAGUAUCCCUGAAACUGUACCUACACAAACUACAGAACGGACCCAGCAGGUUGUAUUUAUAGAUUUGUGCAAAAAAACCCAUGUAGCAAUAAUAAUGUCACAAGAAGAGGCUAUCAGUCUGAACGUUGUGGCAACUUGGGAGUAGUUAGAGGGAUGAAACAGAGGGGGGAGUGUUAUAAUUAUGUUUUAAUUAAAAUAUAUAAAAAUGUAAAGGAAAACCCUCAAUGAAUUUUGUUUUAUGAGUAGGGCAGAAUUUUUCAUAAUUUCUGAAAUGGAUGUAAA
rnacentral:lncRNA from 1 species